rnacentral:rRNA from 1 species
UACCAGCACCCCGAGUAGUCGGGACGUUUAUUGGGCCUAAAGCAUCCGUAGCCGGUUCUACAAGUCUUCCGUUAAAUCCACCUGCUUAACAGAUGGGCUGCGGAAGAUACUAUGGAGCUAGGAGGCGGGAGAGGCAAGCGGUACUCGAUGGGUAGGGGUAAAAUCCGUUGAUCCAUUGAAGACCACCAGUGGCGAAGGCGGCUUGCCAGAACGCGCUCGACGGUGAGGGAUGAAAGCUGGGGGAGCAAACCGG